AGAGUUUGAUUAUGGCUCAGGAUGAACGCUAGCGAUAGGCCUAACACAUGCAAGUCGAGGGGCAGCACAUGAAGUAGCAAUACGGAUGGUGGCGACCGGCGCACGGGUGAGUAACGCGUAUGCAACCUGCCUACAACAGGGGAAUAACCCGUUGAAAGACGGACUAAUACCCCAUAACACAGGGAUCCCGCAUGGGAAUAUUUGUUAAAGAUUUAUCGGUUGUAGAUGGGCAUGCGUUCCAUUAGCUGGUUGGUGAGGUAACGGCUCACCAAGGCAACGAUGGAUAGGGGAACUGAGAGGUUUAUCCCCCACACUGGUACUGAGACACGGACCAGACUCCUACGGGAGGCAGCAGUGAGGAAUAUUGGUCAAUGGACGCAAGUCUGAACCAGCCACGUCGCGUGAAGGAAGACGGCCCUACGGGUUGUAAACUUCUUUUGUAAGGGAAUAAAGUGCAGUACGUGUACUGUUUUGCAUGUACCUUACGAAUAAGGAUCGCCUAACUCCGUGCCAGCAGCCGCGGUAAUACGGAGGAUCCGAGCGUUAUCCGGAUUUAUUGGGUUUAAAGGGUGCGCAGGCGGGAGAUUAAGUCGGCGGUGAAAUUUUGCAGCUCAACUGUAAAAGUGCCUUCGAAACUGGUUUUCUUGAGUGUGGAUGAAGUAGGCGGAAUUUGUGGUGUAGCGGUGAAAUGCAUAGAUAUCACGAGGAACUCCGAUUGCGCAGGCAGCUUACUAAACCAUAACUGACGCUCAGCACGAAAGGCGUGGGGAUCAAACAGGAUUAGAUACCCUGGUUAGU
rnacentral:rRNA from 1 species